rnacentral:rRNA from 1 species
AACGAACGCUGGCGGCAGGCUUAAUACAUGCAAGUCGAGCGCCCCGCAAGGGGAGCGGCAGACGGGGGAGUAACUCGUGGGAAUCUACCCAUCUCUACGGAAUAACGCAUGGAAACGUGGGCAAAUACCGGAUACGUCCUUCGGGAGAAAAAUUUAUCGGAGAUGGAUGAGCCCGCGUUGGAUUAGCUCGUUGGUGGGGUAAAGGCCUACAAAGGCGACGAUCCAUAGCUGGUCUGAGAGGAUGAGCAGUCACACUGGGACGGAGACACGGCCCAGACUCCUACGGGAGGCAGCAGUGGGGAAUAUUGAACAAUGGGCGCAAGCCUGAUCCAGCCAUGCCGCGUGAGUGAUGAAGGCCCUAGGGUUGUAAAGCUCUUUCACCGGUGAAGAUAAUGACGGUAACCGGAGAAGAAGCCCCGGCUAACUUCGUGCCAGCAGCCGCCGUAACAC